ACUUCCUAAAGACUUCAGACACUGCGCUGCACAGUGACUAGCAAAGGUCGACGAUGAAGGACCCCUUCGAAGCGGCGGUGGAGGAGCAGGACUCGCCGCCGGAGUCCCCGAUCCCACCGGACGAUGAGAUCGCUGUCCCCGCCGAAGGAGAAGAAGACGAGACCGAUGCUCGGUCGUUGCCCGAAGCCCCUUCGUCUGCACCUCCUCCGGCUACUGCCGGUCCAGGUGGAGGAAGCCGUGGGAAGGAGGAAGAAGAAGAGGAGGAGGAGGAGAACAUGGGCGUAGAGCUCGGCAAGCUCCCCUCUUCCGGCGAUCCUGACAAGAUGGCCAUGAUGCAGUCAAUCCUUGCGCAGUUCACUGAGGAUCAGAUGAGUAGGUAUGAAUCCUUCAGAAGGUCAGGGUUUCAGAAAUCCAACAUGAAAAGGCUAUUAGCAAGCAUCGUAGGAAGUCAAAAAAUUUCUGUACCCAUGACUAUUGUUGUCUCGGGAAUAGCAAAAAUGUUUGUGGGGGAACUGAUUGAGACCGCCAGGAUAGUUAUGACAGAGAGAGGAGAUAUGGGACCCAUCAGGCCAUGUCAUAUCCGAGAAGCAUACAGAAGACUGAGGCUUGAAGGGAAAAUACCCAAACGAUCAGUGCCAAGACUUUUCCGAUGAGUUUAAAGCUGGCUAUCAGUGCUCAAGGAUUUGGUGUUAAGAAGGAUACUUGUAAUGUCUUCAGAGCAAGGUCAUAUAACUUAUGUAACAAUGUAUUACCAAGAGGCAGGGUGUGACACUCCAGAACACUUGAUUGGGUUCAAGUGCAGCCGGUAAAUAUGCUGUUUAAGCUCUCAAGACAGGUUGUCCAAUCCUAUUGGCCUCCAACAAUGGCCGUAUGGAGCACAGUGAUUUUUGGACAAGAAGUUUGAUCCAGAUUCGCUAGAAAAUUUGCACAAGUUAAUCUCAUGAAGAUGACCUUCCUUAAACAACACCAACUCAAUAUGCACAUUGAACACUGACGUAAUGCGGCUAAAGUAAUCACUUGGCAAUUGGCAUCGCUACUAUUAAUGAGAGACUUUGUUGUGGGGUGGGGUAUAUGCAUACAAUAAAAGACCUUUGUGGAUUGGUUUUUAAUUUUAUUAUAUUUUAGAUUUUGGCCUUUUGUGUAUAUAUAUGCCUACAAAAGUGGGCAAUUAAUUAUG